CUUAUCACUUUUUUUCCUUUUUUAAAAGUGUGUCCCGUGACCACACUUCACCACCAAUCAUAUCAUUUUCCCACAUCCUUUCACCCAAUCAGACAACACCCUCUCUCUUCUUUCUGUCCAAUCAUAACAUUUCCUCUCUCUCUCUCUCUCUUCUUCUUCUUCUCUCCCUCACCCAUCACUCUCUCUUCUUUGCAACAACAAGGACCAUCACCAAACCUUGCAGAUCGAUCCUCAAAUUACCACCAUUGUGCUCCCCUCAUCCUCACGAACCCAUCCGUACAAACUGAUCAUGAAAUGAUCAAGUUUUGAGUGUCCAACUUGGAGCUUCGACUUGGGUGGAGUUUUCCCCGAAGUUUUUUCAUUCGAGUUACAAGAUUUUGGAGUUUUGGAAGCAUCUAGGCAACUCCUCGAGGCCAUUAGCCUAGUUUUGAAGUGGUGCAAACGAGGAAACCCACGGGUUUGAGACAACAAAAGUAGGACUGAGAGUCUUGAGUCUAUUUUGAUCCAUUUCCAUCCACCUUUUGGACUUUUAAGAGAAAUCAGUGAACCAGACGGUGGAGGUUAAGACGACAAACAAGGCGCAUGCUCACCUUGGAUCCAUUGUAGAUGCCAGUCAUGUUGUACAUGUUGGAUUAGGCAACUCCGACUCGACUUAUAUAGCUGAUUACUCUGUGGCGUACGAGGAAUAUCUGGCAGUUCUGACAUACUCCUAAAUAAAUGUAAGGGCUUUUCCAGGUUAUGUAUUAAGUACUUUAACUAGUUUUGACUGCACACUUUUAUGUCAUCUACGCUCUGAACACUUAUGUUUUAUGGAUUUCUUCCCACUA